rnacentral:rRNA from 1 species
GAUUGCCUACGGGACGCAGCAGUGGGGAAUAUUGCACAAUGGGGGAAACCCUGAUGCAGCAACGCCGCGUGAAGGAAGACGGUUUUCGGAUUGUAAACUUCUGUUCUUAGGGAACAAAGGCGGGGACUAGUCCCCGGAUGAGGGUACCUGAAGAAAAAGCAUCGGCUAACUCCGUGCCAGCAGCCGCGGUAAUACGGAGGAUGCGAGCGUUAUCCGGAUUUAUUGGGUUUAAAGGGUGCGCAGGCGGCCUGUUAAGUCAGCGGUAAAAGCCCGGGGCUCAACCCCGGCGAGCCGUUGAAACUGGG